rnacentral:rRNA from 1 species
CCUAACACAUGCAAGUCGAACGGUAGCACAGAGAGCUUGCUCUCGGGUGACGAGUGGCGGACGGGUGAGUAAUGUCUGGGAAACUGCCUGAUGGAGGGGGAUAACUACUGGAAACGGUAGCUAAUACCGCAUAACGUCGCAAGACCAAAGAGGGGGACCUUCGGGCCUCUUGCCAUCAGAUGUGCCCAGAUGGGAUUAGCUAGUAGGUGGGGUAACGGCUCACCUAGGCGACGAUCCCUAGCUGGUCUGAGAGGAUGACCAGCCACACUGGAACUGAGACACGGUCCAGACUCCUACGGGAGGCAGCAGUGGGGAAUAUUGCACAAUGGGCGCAAGCCUGAUGCAGCCAUGCCGCGUGUAUGAAGAAGGCCUUCGGGUUGUAAAGUACUUUCAGCGGGGAGGAAGGUGUUGUGGUUAAUAACCGCAGCAAUUGACGUUACCCGCAGAAGAAGCACCGGCUAACUCCGUGCCCAGCAGCCCGCGGUAAUACCGGAGGUGUGCAAAGCGUUAAUCGGAAUUUACUUGGGCGUAAAGCGCACGCAGGCGGUCUGUCAAAGUCGAGAUGUGAAAUCCCCGGGCUCAACCUGGGAACUGCAUUCGAAACUGGCAGGCUAGAGUCUUGUAGAGGGGGGUAGAAUUCCAGGUGUAGCGGUGAAAUGCGUAGAGAUCUGGAGGAAUACCGGUGGCGAAGGCGGCCCCCUGGACAAAGACUGACGCUCAGGUGCGAAAGCGUGGGGAGCAAACAGGAUUAGAUACCCUGGUAGUCCACGCCGUAAACGAUGUCGACUUGGAGGUUGUGCCCUUGAGGCGUGGCUUCCGGAGCUAACGCGUUAAGUCGACCGCCUGGGGAGUACGGCCGCAAGGUUAAAACUCAAAUGAAUUGACGGGGGCCCGCACAAGCGGUGGAGCAUGUGGUUUAAUUCGAUGCAACGCGAAGAACCUUACCUACUCUUGACAUCCAGAGAACUUAGCAGAGAUGCUUUGGUGCCUUCGGGAACUCUGAGACAGGUGCUGCAUGGCUGUCGUCAGCUCGUGUUGUGAAAUGUUGGGUUAAGUCCCGCAACGAGCGCAACCCUUAUCCUUUGUUGCCAGCGGUCCGGCCGGGAACUCAAAGGAGACUGCCAGUGAUAAACUGGAGGAAGGUGGGGAUGACGUCAAGUCAUCAUGGCCCUUACGAGUAGGGCUACACACGUGCUACAAUGGCGCAUACAAAGAGAAGCGAACUCGCGAGAGCAAGCGGACCUCAUAAAGUGCGUCGUAGUCCGGAUUGGAGUCUGCAACUCGACUCCAUGAAGUCGGAAUCGCUAGUAAUCGUAGAUCAGAAUGCUACGGUGAAUACGUUCCCGGGCCUUGUACACACCGCCCGUCACACCAUGGGAGUGGGUUGCAAAAGAAGUAGGUAGCUUAACCUUCGGGAGGGCGCUUACCAC